GUUUCUGCCGACCAUGGUUUGCAGAGAGGAAGAAGGUGACUCCAUGAGGGGAAAAAAACCAAACAAUGUGUGCCAAGUCAUGAGAAAGAAGAUUUCAUUAGAUGUGGGAAACUCUGAAGAUGAUGAAAAAUGUGGUGCUGCUAAUGCCUUCUGCUCCUCGUGCUAAAGAAACUGUGGGCAGUGCUGUGGGAGCUGCUUUGAUGUCAUUGCACAUUGCUUUUACACACACAUCAAAAAUGCAAAAGCACAGCUUGUUUACUAUUGCUUGACAAAGGGACAAGUACACUUAAAUCAAAGAACUUGCCAAUACCAACAUCUGAGCAUGUAGGCUCCAUUAUUAGACAGAUCUUUGGGGGCUUUAAAACAUGGUGCCAUGUAACAAAAUCCUCAGAUGCC